ACGCCGCGUGAGUGAAGAAGGUUUUCGGAUCGUAAAACUCUGUUGUUAGAGAAGAACAAGGACGUUAGUAACUGAACGUCCCCUGACGGUAUCUAACCAGAAAGCCACGGCUAACUACGUGCCAGCAGCCGCGGUAAUACGUAGGUGGCAAGCGUUGUCCGGAUUUAUUGGGCGUAAAGCGAGCGCAGGCGGUUUCUUAAGUCUGAUGUGAAAGCCCCCGGCUCAACCGGGGAGGGUCAUUGGAAACUGGGAGACUUGAGUGCAGAAGAGGAGAGUGGAAUUCCAUGUGUAGCGGUGAAAUGCGUAGAUAUAUGGAGGAACACCAGUGGCGAAGGCGGCUCUCUGGUCUGUAACUGACGCUGAGGCUCGAAAGCGUGGGGAGCAAACAGGAUUAGAUACCCUGGUAGUCCACGCCGUAAACGAUGAGUGCUAAGUGUUGGAGGGUUUCCGCCCUUCAGUGCUGCAGCAAACGCAUUAAGCACUCCGCCUGGGGAGUACGACCGCAAGGUUGAAACUCAAAGGAAAUUGACGGA
rnacentral:rRNA from 1 species